UACGUAGGGUGCGAGCGUUAAUCGGAAUUACUGGGCGUAAAGCGUGCGCAGGCGGUUGUACAAGACAGGUGUGAAAUCCCCGGGCUUAACCUGGGAACUGCACUUGUGACUGUACGACUGGAGUACGGCAGAGGGGGAUGGAAUUCCGCGUGUAGCAGUGAAAAUGCGUAGAUAUGCGGAGGAACACCGAUGGCGAAGGCAAUCCCCUGGGCCUGUACUGACGCUGAGGUGCGAAAGCUAGGGUAGCAAACGGG
rnacentral:rRNA from 1 species